AGUUUUUGUUGUACCUCCUGGUUCCCCCGGUGACCCCGGAGCCUUAACCGGCCCCCUGGCGGGCGGCAUCUCUGGAGCUAUCGUUUUAAUGGGAGUUGUGCUUCUAGUUGUGGUCAUCUUACGUAGGCGAAAGCAAGAAAACAGUUCCUCAGGAGAAACAGAGAAGAUGAGACCGGAUGCUGUAUCAAGUGAUGUGCAAUCAGCCAGACAUUAUGAAAACGUUGCAGGU